UACGUAGGGGGCAAGCGUUGUCCGGAAUCAUUGGGCUUAAAGAGCGUGUAGGCGGCCCGGUAAGUCCGCUGUGAAAGUCCAGGGCUCAACCCUGGGAUGCCGGUGGAUACUGUCGGGCUCGAGUCCGGAAGAGGAGUGUGGAAUUCCUGGUGUAGCGGUGAAAUGCGCAGAUAUCAGGAGGAACACCAAUGGCGAAGGCAGCACUCUGGGACGUGACUGACGCUGAGACGCGAAAGCGUGGGGAGCAAACAGG
rnacentral:rRNA from 1 species